UACGUAGGGUGCGAGCGUUAAUCGGAAUUACUGGGCGUAAAGCGUCCGCAGGCGGUUUUGUAAGCCAGAUGUGAAAUCCCCGGGCUUAACCUGGGAAUGGCAUUUGGGACUGCAAGGCUUGAGUGCGGCAGAGGAGACUGGAAUUCCUGGUGUAGCAGUGAAAUGCGUAGAUAUCAGGAGGAAUACCGAUGGCGAAGGCAAGUCUCUGGGCUGACACUGACGCUCAUGCACGAAAGCGUGGGGAGCAAACAGG
rnacentral:rRNA from 1 species